rnacentral:rRNA from 1 species
ACGGCUCAGUAACACGUGGUCAAUCUACCGUGAAGAAGGGGAUACCCUCGGGAAACUGAGGCUAAUACCAUACAGACUAGAGUAUCUGGAAUGAUGUCUAAUCGAAAGGGUGACGAAUUGGAGUCUUACCGCUUCACGAUGAGACUGCGUCGGAUCAGGCAGUUGGCGGGGUAACGGCCCACCAAACCUUUGACCCGUAUGGGAUAUGAGAGUAAGAGCCCAGAGAAGGGCACUGAGACAAUGGCCCUAGCGCUACGGCGUGCAGCAGGCGCGCAAACUCCACAAUGCACAUACGUGUGAUGGGGGGAAUCUGAGUGGUCGACUUCGGUUGACCUUUUGCCAAGUUUAGCGAGCUUGGAGAAUAAGUGCUGGGUAAGACCGGUGGCAGCCGCCACGGUAAUACCGGCGGCACGAGUGGUAUUCACAAUUAUUGGGCUUAAAGCGUUAGUAGCCGGCUAAAACAGUCUUGUGUGAAAUAUUGGCGCAUGACGUCAAUACGUGCAUAAGAUACCUUUUGGCUAGGGAGUGGGAGACGUUUGGAGUAUUCAUGGGGUAAGGGUAAAAUCUCGUAAUCCUAUGAAGACUACCGGUGGCGAAGGCGCCAAACGAGAACACAUCCGACGGUGAGUGACGAAGGCUAGGAGAACGAAUCGGAUUAGAUACCCGAGUAGCCCUAGCAGUAAAUUAUGUAGACUCUGGUGUUGCACUUAUCACGAAUAAGCGCAGUACCGUAGGACAACUGUUAAGUCUACCGCCUGGGGAGUACGGUCGCAAGAUUGAAACUUAAAGGAAUUGGCGGGGGAG